GUGCUCGCUUCAGCAGCACAUGUACUAAAAUUGAAAUGAUACAGAGUAGCCUAGCAUGGCCCCAGUGUAAGGAUGACACGCAAAUUCGUAAGCGUCCAUAUUUUUUA